AAUUUAAUAUGGACAAUCAAGUAAAUCUUAUUGAACUUGUCCAAUGCGCUGGUUGGAAACCUCUGUAAGUUGGCAUUUAGUUAUAUUAAUGUACUUUGUGGAUGUGUCAGGUAUACUUAGUUAUUAUUUUAUUUAUUUAGGGAAAAUUAGCAGGAUGUUCAAUUUACUCGUGGAGGGAUUUUGCUUGGUGUGUGGCUCUAGAAUGGCUAUGGGUGAAUUUGAAUUUGAAUCGAAAUUUAGCUCCUCCAGGUUGGUUUCUUCAACGAACGUGCCAUGGCCUAGUUCAUUAUUUGAAUCGAAAUAUAGCUCCUGGUUUCUUGAACAGAGCUCCAACGGAAACAAACUAUAUGUAUGUUCGAUCUCACAGUAGUCAAAGUUAAUUUUUACAACCCGACCUUUAUUUGAAUGAUUGUCUUAAUGGGAAACUUUGACAAAAUUAUUUGAAUAACGUGUCCAUUUGUAACCCAGAUUCUGAUAGUUCCCUCCCCCUUCCCACUUUCUAAAGCAUCAUGGUUUUAUGAAAAAUGUGUGGUUUGUGGCAGGAAAGAAUUCUGAUUGCGGCAUCUUAGCUUUAAUCACACAAUCCUACCGUUGGACUAAAGGACGAAAUGAAAGAAAAAUAAAAAUUAUUAACGAAUUAUUAUCUAGUACGAAUUAAAAAAUUUAGUGUGUACAUUGUACAUUGUACAUUUGGUUUUGGUCAAUAUAGCUCGUUGUGUACGCAUGAAGUGUAAUAUGGAAAGUUAACGUCUGAUCCUUUUUUAAGUAAAAAUUUAUUUUUUACAAUAUAUUCUCAUGUUAUGUUUCCGUUUGAAGUGAUUUUUCCAUGAAAAAAAAAUUGAUUUUUUUAAUUGUUAUUUCACUGUUCAAGCAGUAAUUCUUAAUUUCCAUUCACAGGUGGUGUCACUUUUCUCGGUUAAAAAAUUAAUUUUUUGUAUCAUUAACGAACAGGGUCUCUUUUGCACGUAUUUUUUAAUUGACUCAUUUGCUCAACUAAAGAAGGGCUCGAAGAUGAGCUUCUCUUGUUUGGUCUCCCCCGUUAAAAUUGAAAUAUAUUUUUGUUUUUAUUUUCAAUCCCAUGUUCUUCAAUGAGAAAAGGUACUGUUGCAAAGCGAGCUCAAAUUUUUUUUUUCUUUUCUCGACUAUUGAUCAUUUUUCAGUAAGUUACUAUGUCGAGAAUUUUCUCUCUCUUUUAUUCUACAUUUUAACCAAGAUCUCUGGUCGUUGUUUUUCAUAUGAUGCUGGCUGGACAUUGGACAUUUUUUGCUUAAACACAAUGCGUGGGAUCCUUGGUUCAGCGUAUUGUGAUAUAUGCAUAGCAUAAUUCUUGUUUUUUAUGAUAAUGGGUUGUCAAACAGGAGCUAAAAUCAAAUGGAUGUUAGAUGUAGUCUCGUGAUAAUAAGGUGUAUUUUGAUUGAUGUGGUCGAGUGGGCGGGGAUUAGCUUGAAUUUGUAUUAAUUACUAAAACAAUUUCAAUUUUAUUAGACAACUUAUUAGCCUAAAUUUAAAAUAUUGUGCAUUCCUGGAGUGUUCAUGGGGACCGGAUUACGUACUAAUGAUGUUUUUAGACUAUUUUAGAAGGCUAGUAGUGUUUUUAGACUAUUCUAGAUCAAAGGCUGCUGUUAACUCUCUUGUGAAUGGAUGGAUCCAUAAGCUCAAAAAUGGGGGAGCGCUCAAUUUGCUUAAUGCGUUUGAGAGGGUGGUGGUUCGAUUCCACCUGGAUUCGCUAUUUUUAGUUUUCAAAAAUUUAUGUAGUCCUCGUUUGUAGCAAUUUUUAACACAAAAUAAUUCAUUUUUUUGAACGUUUUCUUUAUGUCAACGGUUAUUUUCAAAUUCUAUACUUACAGGUGGUACUCUCCUUUUUUUUUUUUUUUUUUUUUUUUUUUUUUUUUUUAAAUUUAGUCCAAAGGUCAAAAUUAAUUGUUAUAAUACUUAUUGAUCAAGUCCAUGAUGCUAUUUGUAUCUGACGUACAUGCUCUUCCGGAUUAGUUGACUAUUAAAACACUCAAUUGUUUAUUAUUAAUUGUAACCCACUUUCUGACGGGGCAAUUUUGCUGUGAAGUUGCUGAAUUGUCCGCAGCAAAUCUAGCAAUGCUAAUCGUUUUAUAAUUUUCUUAAUGAGGGAAAAUCGUUGAAAGGUUCUUUUUAGAUAUAAAAUUAUUUUAAUCCUUUUGAGUUUUAUUUUUUAGAAAGUACUCUCCUGGAGGAAGAUUCAGGUCAAAAGGUGUAGUGGAUGGACGAUAAUUGAAUAUUUCUAUACUAUUCCUCGUUGGUCUUGAGGGACGGAGAAGGUUAGAUUAGUCAAAAGUUGAUUAUUGAUUCAUUUUUCUUUUAUCAAAAAUAGUCAUCAGCCUAUUCGAUACACUUUAGGUUGUUAACCAGUCAUGCUUACAACCAUAUUUUGCACAUGGAGAAUACUUCCAUAAAUGGGCAUUCCUAUUUGCCACACUUUUUUUUUCCCACCAUUUUUAGAUAAUGUUAGAUAAGACUAUUUAAAUAGAAAAGAAAACUUAUUAAUGGUCUUAUGAAAAAUUAGGUCGGGGGAAAAAAAAUUGACUAAAUCAAAUCGAUUCGACUCGGAUCGGUUUGACACAAAUAUUUAGUUUUUUUUUUUUUUUUUUAAACAAAAUCAUGAUAUGUCAGUUCAAUCAUAAUUUGUAAUAUUAAACGGUUGGUUAAUUGAAUCAACUUAACUAACUCGUGUUCACAUUUUUUUUAAGAAAAAUAAAAAUUAAAAGAUAAAUUAUAAUUUCAUAACUAGAUUUUGAUUCUCUUUUUCAAUUUAUGAGGUUGUCAGUAAGUAAUAGUAUUGGAAAUUUUCUUUUAAAAAGUUAUUAUGUCAUACUUAUUUUUUUUUUUUUUCAUAUUUAAGCAUUCAGACAAUAUAAUAUAUGAAAAAGCAAUAAGAUUUUUAAAUUAUUGAUACGUCUCUAUUUACCUAAUUUUAUUUGUUAAUCAAUACUUCAUUCAAUAAAAAAUUAUUUGGUUAUUUUAGUUUUUGUAAUUUUAGUGAGCCUAAAAUCUGGACAAAUUCAUUUAAAAAAAUUUAAUUUGAACUAAAAGUCCAUCUAUCAAUCAAGUCGAACAAAAUCAGAUCGAUUUGGUUUAUAUUAAAGUGUAAAUUGUACCACACCUUACUUUAAAAAUUCAGAAUUCUAAAAUUAAAUUGGAUGUUUAAUGGUUCAAAAAUCAAACGUUUUAUUAAUUAAUUGAUAUAUAUGUAAAAAUUAAAUAUACAACAAUCGUAAUUAUUUCAUCCUUUCCAUUCUCUCUCCAUCUCUCACUUCUCUUUCUUGCACAUCAUCGUCGAUACCGCAGGUACUAUGCUGCUCACGACGUCUACACCACACCAUGGCCCUGAAGACGUUACCACAGCAGCAACAUUACCCCGGAGCAGCCCAUUGCGUCGGUGCUGAAGGGGCCACCACUGCAGUGGUGUCGAUCCAAAACAGCCAACGCCGCUAUGGAGUGACGUCGCCCUUAGCCAUUCUCAGCCUUCUUGUCCCAGUGAAUUUUUUACACAUCGAGGCUGUCCUUCGUCAUUCCCGUCUUUUUCUUUGCCACUCUGUCUCUCUUCGUCGCUUGACUCUCUAUUCGUCGCAUCGGUGGUUUUGUAGAUCAUUGUUGGAUUUGGGUUGGUAGAUCAGUGGUUUGCUGCAACGGCGUUGAAUUUAGGUUUGGUGGCGAGGGUGAGUAGAUCGGUGGUGUGUGGGAUUGGCGCCGAAUUUGGGUUUGAAACUGGUUUUGGUGUCGGAUUUGGAAAUGAAGGAGAUGCAAUCGGCCCAGCGUUAGUUGGUGGCAUUAGCUUCGGUCAUGGUGUUGAUCAUUCAAUUUUGGUUUGUUGGGUUGUGUCUGUGUUGAUGGUAGUGCAUCUAUGUUAUGUUGUUGAGUUGUGGUGGUGGUGUGAUUGUGCAGGCGAUGGUUUUGUUGGUCGUUGCGCGAUGACUUUGUUGACGUUUUGGGCGACAAUUUUGUUGGCAUUUGGGCGGGGAUUGGUGUGCCUGUGAUCUGAUGUUUCCGUGGCGAUAUUGGAUUGUGACCAUUAAAUUGGUUAGUUUGUAGUUAAUAAAUAAUAUGUUAUCAAUGAAAAUGAUAAAUUGUGAACAUGAAAUAAUGUGAUCUGAAAAAUGGUUAAUUUGUGACUGAUAAUUUGAUAAUUUGUGACUGUAUAGUAAGUUUCGAAUAUUUAUAAUUUGUGAUCAAUAAAUCGUGACUUAUAAAUAUUUUGAUUUGUGAUUGGUGAACAAAUUGUAAUCUAUAAAAUUUUUGAAUUGUUAUCGAAAAAUAAUUUAUGAAAUAAAAUUUUUAAUUUGUGAC
rnacentral:lncRNA from 1 species